AAUGUCAAAGUUUUUUGAAAACAUUUUUUUAAUUUCAGAAAUAAUUUUUAAUCACUAUAAAAAAUUUUGAAAGUGGAAAAUUAUAAAGCAGAGUUACUAAUAAUCCUAUUACCCAGAGGUAAUUUAUUUCUGAUAACAUGAAAAAUUAAAAAAACCCAACUCUCCAUGUAAGCCCCCCACAAAAGUAUUUUAAAGCAAAUCUUAGGUUUCACAUUUUAUUCAUAAAUAGUUCACUAUGCUAUAAAGACUUUUUAAAAAACAAAAUGACUCAUAAAAUAAUUUUAAUAUCAUAAUAUAUAAUCAGUAUUGCAAUUUCCUGAUUGCCUUAUAAUUAUUUAUUUAGAAUUCAGAAUCUUUGAUAAUAUUUUGAUAUUCCUUUUUUUUCUUGAAUACAUAUGCAUAUAUAUUCAACAUCUAUGUAUAUAAUAAUAUCACUAGCAAAUAAUUAUUGACACUUUAUAUGUACUGGGGAAUAUUGUAAGCACUUUGUAAGUAACUCAUCUGACAAGCCUUUAAGUUGUGAAGUAUAAAAUCCUUAUUUUACAUGUAAAAUGUAAAAUCUUCAUUUUAUAAAUGAAGAUACUGAAGCUGAGUGAGAUUGAGUAACUUAACUAAGGAAUCCUGACUAAUAAGAUCUAAAACACAUAUUUGGGAUCAUACAUAUAGUUAUAUAUGUAAUUGCAUGUAGUUUUGUAUCUUAAAAAAAUAUUUUUUCUUAACAUGAGCAUUUUAUGUUGUUAAAUAUUUUUUGAUAUAUUUGAUAAUGUCAUUUCCAGUGGUGUUAUGAUAUUUUAUCCAUUAGAUGUAUUCUGAUUUGUUAGCUUACUGUUAUUUGACAUUUUCCCCCCAACUUUUUGGAGCUGUAAAAUAAUGUGAUAAACAUCCUUAUUUGUAAGAGUGAUACCUGGCACAAAUUAAGUCUUCAAUUACUUGUUAAAUGGAUUAAUGAAUGAAUCUCUGAUUAUUAGGAUAAAUUCUUACAAUUUGAAUUACUGAGUCAAAAGCUACGAGCAUUUAUAAAACUAUUGGUAAUUAUUGCUAAAUUGCACUCUAAUCACUUUUAGUGAGUUUACGUUUUCAUUCAGCAUUGUAUUAGAGUACACUGCUGUCUUGUUUUUUACUGAUUCGGUCAAUGCAGCAAAAUAUGUUUAUAUACAUCCUAUAAAAAUAGCUAUUUAUAACUGUUAAAAAAAAAUCUCUAGUGUUUUAAUCUGUUUGGACUGUUACAACAAAUACCUUAGUCUGGAUAGCUUAUAAACAAUAGAAACUUAUUUCUCACUGUUCUGGAGCUGGAAAGUCCAAGAUCAUGGUGCAGGCAGAUUCUGGGCCUAGUAAAGGCACACUUCUUUAUUCACAAGGAAUUCACAGAUAGUGCCUUGUCACUGGCCUCUGUUGGCAGAGCUGGUGGGAGCUUUUGCUGGCCUCUUUUAGAAGGGUACUGAUUUCAUUCAUGAGGGCCCUUCCCUCCUGACCUAAUCACUCCUGAAGGCUCUACCUCCUGAUACCAUCUUGUUGGGCAUCAUGUUUGCAGCAUCUGAAUUUGAGGGGGACACCAGUAUUCAGUCUAUAGCAUCUGGUAAUAAAAAAAAAGGAGAAAACAAACCUCCAAAGACUUUCCAAAGAUCUGAACAUAUUCUAGAACUACAUACUAAAAAGGCAUUCUUGAAGUAUCUUGGAUGAAUGACUUUGGGAUUAUCAUCCCAAAGCACCUAAUAUAUAUUUCCACUGAUUUGGGUAUAUCAUGUACAAAGCCAUUUCUUUGAGUGUGCUGUUAAAGAGAGUCAUCACUCCUUCACUUCUCUCUCUUCCAUAAAUACUAGGCUUUUAGUUUUCAGAAAGUUGAGAAGGGGUAGUUGAUUAUAGACAUUAUUGGUAAGUGCAGAUAGUUGCCAACUUUUAAGUGAGUUGUGUUCCAGAUCUCUUGAAAGUGAAAGUGAAAGUCACUCUGAUCCAUGGAAUUCUCUAGGCCAGAAUACUGGAGUGGGUAGCCUUUCCCUUCUCCAGGGGAUCUUCCAAAUGCAGGUCUCCCAGAUUACAGGUGGAUUCUUAACCAGCUGAACCACAAGGGAAGCCCAAGAAUACUGGAGUGGGUAGCCUAUCCCUUCCUCCAGCAGAUCUUCUGACCCAGGAAUCCAGAUCUCUUAUAAUUUCUAAGGGAGAAUGUGACACAGUGAGUGCUGAGAAGCCAGAGAGUGACACAAUGAACCUGUUUCUGAUGCAGCCAUUCUAGUUGCACUUGGCUAUCUUCUUUGAAACAAGAAGAAUGUGGUAACUCAGGGUAAUUUUUGUCACCUGAAAAUAGAUAAUGUUUAUUGAAACAAAGGAUGGGUUAAGAGCAAGAAUUUGUCAUGAGACUGGACUGACUCAAGUUUCAAAUCUACCCUUUACUGUCUCUCUGAUCAUGAAAAGGUACCUAAAAUCUCCAAGUCUCAAUUUGCAAAUGGAACUAACAAUAAUUUCUGUGUCUUGGAGUUAUUUGGUAGAUUAAAUAAAUUCAUGCAUAUAAAGCAUUUAUUAGUGUAAAUGAGUGCUUAUAUUUGGUCAUGCAAGCAGAAUAUUUUGACUAAUGAGCUACUGCAGAAAAUCUUAUAUUAAUGUUUUUUAAAAGAACUUAAGGAUCAAUUAAAAUGGUUGAAGUUUUAAAUGGAUGUAUAGUGAUUUUGAUGUGGCACUUUCAUUAAAAUUCACAUUUUUGGGUUCUUGAGAGUUAAAAAAAAGUUGUUUAUACAUGCAGGAAAGCAUAUAUUAAUCCUUUUAAAGGAAAGGUUUGUGGUAUUUUGUCUAGAAAUUUCUUCUUGUAUAAAUGUUUAGUAAGUGUGUAAUAUGUGAUUGCUGUCAUAUGAUUAAAUUGUGUUCAUGCUGCUUACAGCAUAUGAAUAAAAUAAGAAAUUGGUCAGGUAUACCUCUCAUACUGUGACUUAUGGUGAAUCAGUUGUUGGAAUAUUGGUUUUCUUUCUGCAUCUUGAAUGACAGCGUGGCAGAGAAGAAAAAAGCCUUGGACCUCAGGGCAAAAAACUCUUAUUGUAGUUGUAAUGUAGCUAUAUGAUUUUAGGCAAAUUGGUUAAUCCCAGUCUCAGUUUGCCCAUCUGAAAAGCAGAAAUGAUGUCUGAAUGUCAGCCUUUUAGGCUUUUGCAUGGGGGUGUGUGUGUGUGUAUUUGUAUGUUUAUUUGUGUGUGUAUAUAUUCAAGGGCUUUGAAAUAUAUUACCCUUGAUAGAAGCAUUUUAGAGGUAAUUACAUUUAGAAAGAUAAUUGAGAAUAGUUUGGAAUUAGAGUAAAACUAGGCAUUCUAUUUAAGCUGUGCUGCAAAAAUAUGAAGUUUCUUAAUAACCUUAGCAGAAUAUAUAUUUUAAAAUUAUGUGUAAUGAAAAAUUUCUUUGCCUGUAAUUUUUUAGUCCUUAGUUAUAUAUAUACCCUUUCUGUUUGAAGAUGGUGCUUAUAUUCUGAUUGCUUGUGGUUUUUGCUGAGCAAAAUACAUUUAAGAACAUGUUUGUGUGCAUGUCCUCAGUCGUGUCUGACUCUUUGGGACCCCAUGGACUGUAAACUGCUAAAGGACAUACACGUGAAUGUUACAUUUGUAUUACAGAUGGAGGAUAUAUGCAGGUUCUUUUAUUUCUGAUUUAACUUCUAAGAUUAAUUUUUAAAGACAUUUUAUUUUGGAGAGUUUCAGAGAUUUAUAUAAGUAGGUUAGAGAAAAUAGUAUGAACUCUCACAUACCUGUUAACCAGCUUCAGUAGUUAUCAGUCAUGGCCAAACUCUAUUUCUCCCUGACUCCAGAUUAUUUUAAAGUAAAUCCAAGAUAUGAUGUUUCAUCUAUACAUAUUUCAGUAUGUAUGGGGGGAAAAAAAGAGCUCUUUAAAAAAAUGACCACAAGAAA